GAUGAACGCUGGCGGCGUGCCUAAUACAUGCAAGUCGAGCGAACGGACGAGAAGCUUGCUUCUCUGAUGUUAGCGGCGGACGGGUGGGUAACAAGUGGAAAACCUCCUUAUAAGACUGGGAUAACUUCGGGAAACCGGAGUUAAUACCGGAUAAUAUUUUGAACCGCAUGGUUAAAAAGUGAAAGACGGUUUUGCUUUCACUUAUAGAUGGACCCGCGCUGCAUUAGCUAGUUGGUAAGGUAACGGCUUACCAAGGCAACGAUGCAUAGCCGACCUGAGAGGGUGAUCGGCCACACUGGAACUGAGACACGGUCCAGACUCCUACGGGAGGCAGCAGUAGGGAAUCUUCCGCAAUGGGCGAAAGCCUGACGGAGCAACGCCGCGUGAGUGAUGAAGGUCUUCGGAUCGUAAAACUCUGUUAUUAGGGAAGAACAUAUGUGUAAGUAACUGUGCACAUCUUGACGGUACCUAAUCAGAAAGCCACGGCUAAAUACGUG
rnacentral:rRNA from 1 species